rnacentral:rRNA from 2 species
GCCCUAGUAACGGCGAGUGAAGCGGCAACAGCUCAAAUUUGAAAUCUGGCGCAAGCCCGAGUUGUAAUUUGUAGAGGAUGCUUCUAGGUAGCGACCGGUCUAAGUUCCUUGGAACAGGACGUCAUAGAGGGUGAGAAUCCCGUAUGUGACUGGCCCGCACCUUCUACGUAGCUCCUUCGACGAGUCGAGUUGUUUGGGAAUGCAGCUCUAAAUGGGAGGUAAAUUUCUUCUAAAGCUAAAUACCGGCCAGAGACCGAUAGCGCACAAGUAGAGUGAUCGAAAGAUGAAAAGCACUUUGGAAAGAGAGUUAAAAAGCACGUGAAAUUGUUGAAAGGGAAGCGCUCACAACCAGACUUCUAGGCAGUGUUCCGCCGGUCUUUUGACCGGUCUACUCUCUGUCUCGAGGCCAACAUCAUCUGGGACCGCUGGAUAAGACCUUAGGAAUGUAGCUCCCCUCGGGGAGUGUUAUAGCCUCUGGUGAUGCAGCGAGUCUCGGGUGAGGUCCGCGCUUCGGCAAGGAUGUUGGCGUAAUGGUUGUCAGCGGCCCGUCUUGAAACACGGACCAAGGAGUCUAACAUCUAUGCGAGUGUUCGGGUGUCAAACCCCUACGCGUAAUGAAAGUGAACGGAGGUGGGAAGCGUAAGCUGCACCAUCGACCGAUCCUGAUGUCCUCGGAUGGAUUUGAGUAAGAGCAUAGCUGUUGGGACCCGAAAGAUGGUGAACUAUGCCUGAAUAGGGUGAAGCCAGAGGAAACUCUGGUGGAGGCUCGCAGCGGUUCUGACGUGCAAAUCGAUCGUCAAAUUUGGGU